rnacentral:tRNA from 1 species
GGGGUCUUAGCUCAGUUGGGAGAGCGUCUGCUUUGCAAGCAGAAUGUCGUCGGUUCGAUCCCGUCAGACUCCACCA